rnacentral:rRNA from 1 species
UUGAUAUUUAUUUUAGGUCUCACCUGCCCUAUGAUUUAUUUUAAAUGGCCGCGGUAUUUUGACCGUGCAAAGGUAGCAUAAUCAUUUGUCUUUUAAUUGAAGGCUGGAAUGAAUGGUUGGACGAGAAAUUUACUUUCUUUAUUAUAAUUUUUAUAACUUAAUUUUUAAGUUAAAAAGCUUAAAUAUUAUUAUAGGACGAGAAGACCCUGUAGAAUUUUACUUAUAUUAAUAUUUAUUAAUAUUUUGUUUAUUAUAUAUAAUAUAAUAAUAUAAGUUUUGUUGGGGUGACAUGAAAAUUUUAUUAACUUUUCAUUAUUUUUUUCAUAAAUUUAUGUAUAAUUGAUCCAAUAUUAUUGAUUAUAAGUUCUAAUUACCUCAGGGAUAACAGCGUAAUUUUCUUGGAGAGUUCUUAUCGAUAAGA